ACGCUAUCACUCCUACGGGAGGCAGCAGUGGGGAAUCUUGCGCAAUGGGCGGAAGCCUGACGCAGCAACGCCGCGUGAGGGAUGACGGCCUUCGGGUUGUAAACCUCUUUCGCGAUCGACGAAGGUCAUGCUUUUGGCAUGGCUGACGGUAGGUCGAGAAGAAGCACCGGCCAACUACGUGCCAGCAGCCGCGGUAAUACGUAGGGUGCGAGCGUUGUCCGGAAUUAUUGGGCGUAAAGAGCUCGUAGGCGGUGUGUCGCGUCGGCCGUGAAAACCUGGGGCUUAACUCUGGGCGUGCGGUCGAUACGGGCAUCACUAGAGUUCGGCAGGGGAGACUGGAAUUCCUGGUGUAGCGGUGAAAUGCGCAGAUAUCAGGAGGAACACCGGUGGCGAAGGCGGGUCUCUGGGCCGAUACUGACGCUGAGGAGCGAAAGCAUGGGUAGCGAACAGGAUUAGAUACCCUGGUAG
rnacentral:rRNA from 1 species